CAGUCGCCGCGGGAAUACGUAGGUGGCAAGCGUUGUCCGGAAUUAUUGGGCGUAAAGGGCUCGCAGGCGGUUUCUUAAGUCUGAUGUGAAAGCCCCCGGCUCAACCGGGGAGGGUCAUUGGAAACUGGGAAACUUGAGUGCAGAAGAGGAGAGUGGAAUUCCACGUGUAGCGGUGAAGUGCGUAGAGAUGUGGAGGAACACCAGUGGCGAAGGCGACUCUCUGGUCUGUAACUGACGCUGAGGAGCGAAAGCGUGGGGAGCGAACAGGAUUAGAUACCCGAGUAGUCCCUGUCUCUUAUAC
rnacentral:rRNA from 1 species